GUGACAGGGAAAGCCUUGUUUGAGGUGCAGGCUCUAAGACAAAAAGGUCAUGUGCAGUGACUGGAGACAGGCUUCUAGGAGCUUAUUCAGAGCAUGGAAGAAGCUCUAGGAGCAAAGAGUGGUCUUGGGUGACAACUAGCAAGGAACCAAGAACCUCAACCCCACAACCACGAGGAGCUGAAUUCGGCCGGCCUAAAAGAGCAUGGACGCAGAUCAUCCCCAGAGCCUCCGGACCCUCAAACUUGAGCUCCAGUGGCCACCAGAGCCAGGUGCUUUGGAGGUGUUACCUGGGCAGCAGUGGCGCAAAGCAGGGUGCCAGAGAAGGGUAAAAGCUCCUUUCUAAGAGAUAAAGGCCUUCCCUGGUGGCUCAGACAGUAAAGUGUCUGCCUACAAUGUGGGAGACCUGGGUUCGAUCCCUGGGUCAGGAAGAUCCCCUGGAGAAGGAAAUGUCAACCUACUCCAAAAUUCUUGCCUGGAAAGACAAAAGCCUGGUUUCUAAAUUAACCUCUUAUAAAAGGCUCCAGGAGAAAAAAAGCUUCAGGAGAAUUUGUAACUAAAGAAGGGAACACUUAUUUAAAAUAAACUAACAGCCAUUCUGUCUUGAAAAUAAAACCCACAAUUCUAAAAGGCAAGAUUGACAUAUAUUCGCAGAUACUAAAUGU
ensembl:lncRNA